rnacentral:lncRNA from 1 species
CUCUUUCUUGCAUACCAUUCCUCAGCUUCUUCCCCCUCUCGUAAUUAAUGGAGCAUUCUAAUCUUUUCAGCUCCCGUUCAAACUUCGAUUUGUCCAGAAGAAUUUUACUAUGGACUUUUUCCCUCCUUUUUCUGAUCUUGACCAAAAAGUCCAGGAUAUCCUUCUCCAAUCCUUUUGUCGAGAACCCCAGGAAUUUGCUAAACCUGGCCAGUUCACUGUCUUCCCAGUCAACCUCUUCCCAUCUUUUUUCUUCCAGUGUUUCUGUACGGAUCAGACGUAGCCUCCUUCUCCACCUUCUCCAUUACUGCCAUUACUGGC